ensembl:lncRNA
CGCAUGGCAGUGCCUCUGUAGUCUCCGCUACUAGAGAGGCUAAGGCAGAAGGAUUGCUCGAUCCAAGGAGUUCCAGCCCCACCUGAGCAACAUAGCAAGACACCAACUCAAAAAAAUAAAACGCUUCUUUCCAUUUGCUUAAAAGGAGCCCCGGUACCUUUCUCCUUGAAGCUAAUCACUGUCAGAUACUACAAGGGCCAUGGUCUCCUCCACCCCAGGGACAGACAUAGUGCAGUUUCGAUGAAAGGGCCAGGAGGUAAUGGUAGUCAUUGUGGAUAAAGGCCUUGUGUUUGGAGCUGAAGAUAAUGUCGGAGGCCCUUGAGUCCAAACUCCUGGUCCAGGAGACAAGAUUAAGUCUCUAAGGCCGGAGGAACGGAGGCCACCUUCAAAGCCAGGCAUCUGACUCAGGAGACCAGGCUCAAGACCACUGGCCUUAAUUGCAUCUUCUCUGAACCAGUAAGGUAAGGCCUUGAAGCCAAAGGUGCAGUGGAGACCCCAGAAGUCUGGGGGAGCCAGGAAUGUCAUUGGUCUGGGGAAAAUUGCAAGGAGGGAGCAAAGCCAGCCCAAGAGAGAAGCCAUGGGAGCUACAACCACCAGAAGUCCCAUAGGGGCGGGGCCACCCAAGUUCUUUGGAGCCCACAUCUUGUCACAGAUUGCUGGGGAUGCUGCACUGCAUGUGGAACUAUGGGGCUUAGUUUGCCCUGCUGGAUUUUGGACUUGCUUUGGACCCAUUCCUUUGUAUCCCCCUGUUUGUACCAUUUGGAAUGGAAAGGUCUAUCUUGUGGCACUGACUAUUGGAAGUAUUCAACUUUCUUUUCAUUUGUAGAGGGGCUCACAGCUAAGAGUCUUUCUUAAAUCUCAGAGGAGUCUUGGGACUUGGGCUUUUCAGCAAGGCUGAAACUGUUAGGACUUUGGCAACUUUUAGAGAUGGACAAAAUGCGUUUUGCAUAGAGGAAUGUACACGAGCCUUCAGGGGACCAAGGGCAGAAUGUUAUGGUUUGUGUCUAGAUUUCCCCCCAAUGCCUCUUGUGGUCAUAGGUGGAGGCUUUUUCAGAGGUGGCUGAAUCUAGUGUGUGAUGCUGGGAUUAAGGGCAUGUGGUUAGUAAAUCAGUCUACUGAUUGGUUUGGUACUGCCCUAAUCCCAGUAGCCUGGAUAGAAUAUAAAAAGGGGCAGAAAGAAGCUGCUAAGGUCACUAGUUGGUUCCCUUGUUUGCUUUGCUACCUUCUGCCCACCGUGUACUGUUUCCCCACUGCGAUGCCUGUCUGUCAUUCACCCUGCCUUGGAGCCAGCCAGUUAUGGACUGAAACCUCAACAAACUGUGAGCUAAAUAAACCUUUCCUCCCUUAACUUGUGGAUGUUGGGUAUUUUCACCCAGCAAGAAGACAGGUAACUAAAACAGGCCUCUUUUUUUUCAUAUUAAAAG